GACGAACGCUGGCGGCGUGCUUAACACAUGCAAGUCGAACGGAAAGGCCCUGCUUUUGUGGGGUGCUCGAGUGGCGAACGGGUGAGUAACACGUGAGUAACCUGCCCUUGACUUUGGGAUAACUUCAGGAAACUGGGGCUAAUACCGGAUAGGAGCUCCUGCUGCAUGGGGGGGGUUGGAAAGUUUCGGCGCUUGGGGAUGGACUCGCGGCUUAUCAGCUUGUUGGUGGGGUAGUGGCUUACCAAGGCUUUGACGGGUAGCCGGCCUGAGAGGGUGACCGGCCCCAUUGGGACUGGGGUACGGCCCAGACUCCUUCGGGCGGCAGCAGUGGGGACUAUUGCACAAUGGGCGGAGGCCUGAUGCAGCAACGCCGCGUGCGGGAUGACGGCCUUCGGGUUGUAAACCGCUUUCGCCUGUGACGAAGCGUGAGUGACGGUACUGGGCAAAGAAGCACCGGCUAACUACGU
rnacentral:rRNA from 1 species